UAUGUGAUCGUCUCUCGCAUAUCAAUAAGCGGAGGAAAAGAAACUAACAAGGAUUCCCCUAGUAACGGCGAGUGAAGCGGGAAGAGCUCAAAUUUGAAAUCUUAAAGGGUUUCCCUUUACGAAUUGUAGUUUAAAGAAGUGUUUUCUGUUGAGGUUUUGGUAAAAGUUCUUUGGAAUAGGACAUCAUAGAGGGUGAGAAUCCCGUAUUUGACCUUUACUUUCAACUUUGUGUAUACACUUUCAAAGAGUCGGAUUGUUUGGGAAUGCAGUCCAAAAUGGGUGGUAAAUUUCAUCUAAAGCUAAAUAUUGGCGAGAGACCGAUAGCGAACAAGUACCGUGAGGGAAAGAUGAAAAGAACUUUGAAAAGAGAGUUAAACAGUACGUGAAAUUGUCAAAAGGGAAGCGUUUGACACCAGUGUUGUUUUUCUGAAAAUCAAUUAAAGAACUGUUUAUGCUAAGUUGUUUAGACUUUAUCAGCUAACUGUUUAGUUUUGAGCUUUUCUUUAAUGCACUUUUCAGUUAACAAGUCAAUCAUCAAUUUCUUUUGCUGUAAAAAAGCUUGAGGAAGGUGGCUUGAGAUUCGUCUUAAGUGUUUAUAGCCUCUUGCCUAUGCAGUCGGAGAGAUUGAGGUCUGCAGCGUAGAUCCUUCGGGGCUAAAUGCAUUUGUGCUAAGUUAUAGCAUUUUAUAGACAGCUUGUUGACUAUGAUUUGUCUUGUAGCUUACUCGCUUAUGUUAUUUUACCUACGCUUAGGAUGUUGAGUCGUAGAGCACGCA
rnacentral:rRNA from 1 species